ensembl:lncRNA
AGAAUAACAUUUAUUGUAGAAAAAAAAAAUCUCUCAAAAGACUAAAUCUCCCUUAAUCUGCUUUUGGAUAAAAGAAGGACCUCUCUAAUAAGAUUUUCAGUCAUGCUGGGCCUCAGAUCUACUUUAAGAAGACAGGAAACACAAUUAAAGCAAAGUCAUUAUUUUCUUAAUUAAAAUGAAGAUAUUCAUCCUUUUCUUAAUUAACAUUCCCCCAAGCAGAAUCAAAAUCUUCGGAAUCAAAAAUGGUAGAAGAGAAGAGAAGAGAAGAGAAGAGAAGAGAAGAGAAGAGAAGAGAAGAGAAGAGAAGAGAAGAGAAGAGAAGAGAAGAGAAGAGAAGAGAAGAGAAGAGAAGAGAAGAGAAGAGAAGAGAAGAGAAGAGAAGAGAAGAGAAGAGAAGAGAAGAGAAGAGAAGAGAAGAGAAGAGAAGAGAAGAGAAGAGAAGAGAAGAGAAGAGAAGAGAAGAGAAGAGAAGAGAAGAGAAGAGAAGAGAAGAGAAGAGAAGAGAAGAGAAGAGAAGAGAAGAGAAGAGAAGAGAAGAGAAGAGAAGAGAAGAGAAGAGAAGAGAAGAGAAGAGAAGAGAAGAGAAGAGAAGAGAAGAGAAGAGAAGAGAAGAGAAGAGAAGAGAAGAGAAGAGAAGAGAAGAGAAGAGAAGAGAAGAGAAGAGAAGAGAAGAGAAGAGAAGAGAAGAGAAGAGAAGAGAAGAGAAGAGAAGAGAAGAGAAGAGAAGAGAAGAGAAGAGAAGAGAAGAGAAGAGAAGAGAAGAGAAGAGAAGAGAAGAGAAGAGAAGAGAAGAGAAGAGAAGAGAAGAGAAGAGAAGAGAAGAGAAGAGAAGAGAAGAGAAGAGAAGAGAAGAGAAGAGAAGAGAAGAGAAGAGAAGAGAAGAGAAGAGAAGAGAAGAGAAGAGAAGAGAAGAGAAGAGAAGAGAAGAUUUUCAUUAUAUAAGUAUUUUUUUUUUUAUUCCUGCAUUGAUCCAGCUCUAUAUUCUCAUAAUUUUCCAUCUCUGUAAUGUAAAACACUCUUGUUUGCCAUUUACUGUAAUCAUGUUGGGCUCAUUUACAGUACAAUAGUUCCAUAUCCUCUGCCUCGCUUCCUCUGAUGCCCACGUCUUUUUUCCUCUCUGAUGGGCCUCUUGUUGAGAGAGGGUUGCUUGGAAAAGUUGUGCGUCACCCACAGAUCUGGUUUCAUCUGAAAAACAGAAGAGUGUUAAAAGGUUUCUAUCACUUUAAGAUUUGAGCUACAACAUGCA